CGUAGGAGGCAAGCGUUAUCCGGAUUCACUGGGCGUAAAGCGCGUGCAGGCGGCGCGGUAAGUUGGGUGUGAAAUCUCCCGGCUCAACUGGGAGAGGUCAUUCAAUACUACCGUGCUAGAGAGCAGAAGAGGAAGAUGGAAUUCCCGGUGUAGUGGUGAAAUGCGUAGAUAUCGGGAGGAACACCAGUGGCGAAGGCGAUCUUCUGGUCUGUUUCUGACGCUCAGACGCGACAGCUAGGGUAAUAAACGGGAUUAGAGACCCCGGUAAUCCUAGCCGUAAACGAUGUAAACUUGGCGUUGGUGGGUUAAACUCCAUCAGUGCCGCAGCAAACGCGAUAAGUUUACCGCCUGGGGACUACGGCCGCAAGGUUA
rnacentral:rRNA from 1 species